GCAGUAGCCACGGUAAUACAGAGGGUGCGAGCGUUAAUCGGAUUUACUGGGCGUAAAGCGUGCGUAGGCGGCUUUUUAAGUCGGAUGUGAAAUCCCUGAGCUUAACUUAGGAAUUGCAUUCGAUACUGGGAAGCUAGAGUAUGGGAGAGGAUGGUAGAAUUCCAGGUGUAGCGGUGAAAUGCGUAGAGAUCUGGAGGAAUACCGAUGGCGAAGGCAGCCAUCUGGCCUAAUACUGACGCUGAGGUACGAAAGCAUGGGGAGCAAACAGGAUUAGAUACCCGUGUAGUCCAUGUCUCUUAUAC
rnacentral:rRNA from 1 species